ensembl:lncRNA
GGUCUGUCUUAGCAGGUGAUGAUCUUAGAGAGGAGCCUGGACCUGGGUCGUUUCAUCACUGCUGUCCAUUUCCAGAACGUCUCCUGUACUGGGGACGUGUGGUUAGAUAAUAAAGAGUUGCCAGUGAAAUGCUUCAGGGGAUGGUUAGAGAAAAAGAAAGAAAUAAACACACACUAUGGGGUGGGGGUGGGGUAACUUUGAUUUUCAGCCUGAGAAGGAAAAAGGGAAAGGAGAAAAAAUAUAGACCGCAUAGCCCAUGCAAAGUGAGCCACGUUGGAUUCUAAACCAAACUGCUUAAAGCAGUAAAAGCUGGUUAAUUCAAACAGCUCUCAACCCAGAGGUAGGACCGUGUGGCACGGGAAGCGGAACAUCAUCAAGCUAGGAUGUGCCCCUGUCCUUACGGAGCCAACAAGCCAAUAGCAGAAUGAAGGUUCAUCAAAGCCCACUCUCUCAGACUCGCCUAAAAAACUGACCAAAUCCCGAAAGGUUUACUUCAUGGCCCAGAACAACCUCUGAUGUCACAAGCACGGAUGAAGAACAGCUAAGGCACAAUGAGUGUGUCAGGAUACCACAACCCAUUCUGGGAUUUUGUAAAGAACCCCAAGGGAGACUCUUACCCUGUCACCUCGAGCGGCACCUCUGAACGCUGGGGCACCCGCAGUGUCCUGCUCUGCCGCCCGAUGCUUCGCCACGCCACUGAGCUCGGCAGAUGCAACGUGCUCUGCAGUCUUGGACCCCUGGCUUCCUUUCUGGCCGGGCUGACUCUACUGUGGGCAUGCAGCCUUCACAGCAAGACUCCGGCCCUGGCUGGCUCCUGCCUCAAAGUCACCCAGGCACCUGGGGCUGCCCCAACAGGAACCCCAUCUAAGGGCCUUUCUCACCCUUUCUUUCCCCACACCCGUUCUCAGGCUAACCACUGCUGCACACCAGCAAUUUCUGCGGCAUCCUCUCUCACCACUGGGCCACUCAUUCCUCCCAGGCAGAUGCUGAAGAGACAUUUGGCUCUGCAGCAGAAUGGCGCACUCCUAUAUUUAGCCACAUUGUGUAAUAUGUGACAAUAAUACUUUGUACUCAGGGUACACCUUUUAUCAGAGGAACUCCAUGCAGUCUGCAAACAUCCCCAGCACAAUACCCCUGGAGUGGAAGGAACCUGCCAAGUGUUGUGAUCUCAGUCUUACGGCUGGAGAGACUGGGUCCCAGGAAGGUGGGGCACGGCCAAGGCUUCCUAAGGAGUCAAGAGCCAGAAAAGGACCAUGGGCUGCUCCCCUAAGAUCUAAGGAUCCCUGGUUACCUCCUGAAUUAUUCCCAUCACCCAAAACUGCCGUCUACUGAUCACGUAUUAUUUGAAGCAAGCACAAUCAUUCUGGGAAGUCGUGAACUACCCCUAAGUUACGUCUUUUCUAAACGUUCCUGAAGUUAAGAAGACUUUCAGCUUGGAGACUUUUGCUGUCUCCUCAAUCACGCUUGGUCAGUGGUGGCGUAUUCAGAACAUGCGUUGAAAAUAAAAAGUCACAUCGCAGCUGCCCGCUGAGGGUGGGCCUCGCAGGGCCACCAGCAGUUCACUGCUUCACUUCAGGCCCCGGAUGUAGAGAAAGCGGAGUAAAGCAACGUCAUCAAGGUUAAGAGUGAAAUUCAGCUCUGAUUUUAGAAGUUCCUAGGGAAAAAAAUCUUGUCU